GGAAAGCUCUGUUGUGGAAGGAGAAGCUGAGCUGUGUGGACCUAAGAAGACAUGAAGAACCCUGCUGGAUCAGACCGAAGGACUAUUUAAGUCCAGCAUCCAGUUCUCACUGUGGCCAGCCAGACAUCUCUCAGAAUGCAACAGUCCUCUCCCCACUUGUGCUCCCCAGUAUACUCAGAGGCACUGCCCCUGACAGUGGAGAGAUGCUGACAUUUUGAACUGCCAAUGUAUCAGCCCUUAUCAAUGAGAGUAACAUAUAAGGUGUAUGCCUAAUAAGUCAGAAGGCCACUGAAGAUUCUUUGUCGAAAUGCGUUUGGCUGCACUUUGCUUUUGUAUUGGCUGCACUUUGCUUUUGCAUCUCAUCUUGCAUUAGCAUUGAUUUAUUACAGCUGCAGGAUUUUAUGGCUUUUAUAUUCUGUUUCUUGUAUUUUAUCUUAUAUGGGCAUUGAUUCAAUACCACAUGCAGAAUUCUAGCAGUGAUUUUAUGUUGGUUUAACUAUAUAUGUGCAUUAAAUAUUUAUAUUUUAUUUGAUGUUUCAUAUGUGCACCUUAACUCCUGUUUGAGCAUCAUUUCUAAUUCAUACAUGCCCUGUAACUUUUGCUGAAAUCCUGUAAUUUUUUAUACCAUAAAUGUUCCCGGGAGGGGGUGUCCUGCUUUUGUUGGGCUGUAGUGUAAGAGUGCCCUUCCAAAUGGCAAUAAUGCAGUAACAUUGGGGAUGCA